CCUACGGGUGGCAGCAGUGGGGAAUAUUGCACAAUGGGGGAAACCCUGAUGCAGCGACGCCGCGUGAGUGAAGAAGUAUUUCGGUAUGUAAAGCUCUAUCAGCAGGGAAGAAAAUGACGGUACCUGAUUAAGAAGCCCCGGCUAACUACGUGCCAGCAGCCGCGGUAAUACGUAGGGGGCAAGCGUUAUCCGGAUUUACUGGGUGUAAAGGGAGCGUAGACGGCAGCGCAAGUCUGAAGUGAAAUGCCGGGGCUUAACCCCAGAACUGCUUUGGAAACUGUGUAGCUAGAGUGCAGGAGAGGUAAGUGGAAUGCGUAGUGUAGCGGUGAAAUGCGUAGAUAUUAGGAAGAACACCAGUGGCGAAGGCGGAUUACUGGACUGUAACUGACGUUGAGGCUCGAAAGCGUGGGGAGCGAACAGGAUUAGAUACCCCGGUAGUC
rnacentral:rRNA from 1 species